rnacentral:tRNA from 1 species
UUUCUAAUGGCUCAGAGGGUAAAGAAUCUGCCUGUAAUGCAGGAGACUCAGGUUCGAUCCCUGAGUCGGGAA